rnacentral:lncRNA from 10 species
CCUGCUUCUCCUGUAAGGGAAUCAUUAUAGAAAAAAAUUAAGAGGCUUGAGAAAAUCAGAAGUUCAUAAAGGAAGAAAGGAAAGAAAUUAUAGGAAGCAGGAAGAGCUCUGGGGAGCUGUUUUCGGGAGCAAAUAUCCAGAAUGAACACCUUGACUCAUGGCUGCAUCUGCAAGGAAGAUGGGACAUCCAUUCUCACUUGUACACAGGCUAUGGGUUGUCCGGAGCCCUGAGCUGAAGACAGGCCUGCUGCUGAUCCCAGAGACAGAUGGCCAGAGUUAGGAACAGCAUGCACAAAGAAGAUCCUAAGCCUUCCUGGAGAAGUGCCAAUAUCAUCAUUUGGGGGUCUUAAAGCCAAGCUGGGGAAUAAGCGUUAUGGGGAAUGCUGAGAAGGAGAUGUUUAAUCAAGUGUGUAGGUUUAGGACUUCAGUCAAAGGGCUGCUUUUUUGCUGCUCUCAGGCAGUUUUCACUGCAUGCCUUCACCUCUGGUAUCUUCAAAGCACUCCUUGGCUUGUGCCAUUAAUACUUUACCUAAGAUUUUUAGAAAUUCUGUCUGGUCAUAUGCUACAUCCUACUUGUAUUGAAAGAACCCUUAGGAUUUCCCCUU